AUGAAUUCCUCCGAAAAUGGAACGACACCCUUCGAAACGAUGGGAGCACCAACGGCUGAUGGAUGUGGCAGAAUUACAGUUUUCAUCAUGAUUUGCCAUAUAGCGGUAGUAACGGAUGUUGUUGCCGGCCUAAUAAGCAACGCUGGAGUCGUGUGGCUGUUGGUGCAUGGAAAAGGAGGCCUCAUGACCUCUGAUAUAUUUUUUUUCAACUCGGCAUUCUCAGAACUGGCCAUCUGUCCUUGCAUCCUCCUCGCCCUCCUACACCAUUUAAACGUGGGGAAUUUUUUUAUACCCGUCCUAGAUUUUUGUUUCAGUUUUGUUCUUGCCGCUCGUCCCGUUUUCCGGUGCUGCAUCUGCGUGGACCGCUACCUGGCGGUGGUUCACCCCAUUGUGUACCUGAAGUGCAAAGCACCGAAAUACAGGCUGGCAUGUUUGGCUUUCGUAUGGUUCAUUACAAUUGGAUUCUGCAUUCUCAACACUUUUAUGAAAUCUUCUUUCAUUUUAGCUGUCGUAUUUCUGCCUGUUCUUGGCGUAGACUCACUCUGCAGCUUCUCCAUACUGCGGGUUCUGAAGCAACCUCGACCUGGAGACGGGGACAGGGAGGACAUGAACACUAUGAAGCAAAGAGCUUUCAGGACCAUCCUCAUCAUCCAAGGGAUGAUGCUGCCUCUCGUCAGGACGGCACGAGAUAGAGGGGCCAGAAUCCCACGCCUGCUUUGCGGAACCUCAAUUCGAACAACUGCAACGUUCUCUGGCUUCCGACCUUCGCUGUGUCUUCACGACUACGUCCCUCAUCUCUCCCAUGAAACCCCGAUCGUUCAUCGCCUGACCCACGCCUGUCCUCGACCACUGUUUUUCACCUGCUCCUUUCGUUUUGCUGAUGAUAAAAGAACCUGCGACUGGGUCCUGCUCACCAAUGCCCCAGCAUCACACAUGUGUUCUAGUUGUCUGACUCUUUCUGGGGUGACUGUACUUGUACAAUAAAGCAAAGUUUCCAGCUGAAAGAGUCACUUAGAAUGUCAACAUAAUCAUAAUUAGGAGGAUUUCUUUG
rnacentral:lncRNA from 1 species